AGUUGGUUCAAAGGUUGUGGGUUAUUGUUGAAUAACACUGUCUCCUCCAAAAACCACCCUUGAUUAGCUUUAG
rnacentral:Y_RNA from 13 species